GCUGUCCUCCUCCUGGACUGGUUGGCAUGUGUAUGGAAUAAAAAUGUGUCGGAGCUUUUGUUUUGCUGGUUCCAAGUAACGGCGCUGGACUGAGCCAGGAGAAUAGGAGCUAGAGGGGAGAGCAGGGCUGUCUCCAUUCAGUCGAAGAAGAGAUACAUGGGUGCUUAACGAGGAAGAGACGAGGAAGAAGAAGAAGAAGAAAGGGGAGCCUCCAUUGCUAAAGAUGCUCUAGGGUUGUCAGCAGCUCUUUCUUCCUGAAAUGGACUGAGUCGAGCAUCAGCUGACGCAAACUCACCUGAGACGACUGAGAAGAGGAGUUGACACAGAGCACAGAGGAAGAAGGCAGACACAAAGUCAGAAGAUGGAAGAGACUUCGCAGGACGUCAGCCAGAUGACCAGCCAGCAGGUUCUCUGUGACCCUGCUGAAC